rnacentral:rRNA from 1 species
AUGGGAGACUUUAAUGAGAUCCUAAUGAAUGAGGAGAAAAAAGGGGGUGUAAACCGAUCCCAGGGCUGUCUGGACCAGUUUCGAGAUGCUCUAGAAGAAUGCAAGCUAAGCGAUCUGGGUUACGAGGGUGAUAUGAUCACGUGGUGGAAGGGUUAUAUUUGUGGACGUCUGGACCGUGCAGUAGCGAAUAUGGAAUGGUGUUCCACCUACCCAGAGUUUCGUGUUCGCAAUGAACUACCGAGGCAUUCAUAUCAUCGGCCGGUUGUGGUGGAUACAGAGGACAUGGGGGAAAGAAGGGAGAGAGAGGAGGAGGAGGAGCAUUUAGGUUCGAAGCUAGAUGGCUCAAGGAGGAGGGGUGUGAUCUGGUCGUUGAGGAAGCAUGGAGAAGGGUUCGAGAGGGCCAUGUGUCUGAUGUAG